GACGCAGCUGUGAAGACGAGCGACGUUUCGUUGUAUCUGCGGAGCGCAAAUACGUCAUAUUGACUUUCCAGUUGGGUAACCGAAACAUUUUAAUCCAUCACCUCUUCAUAUGAAGCUCUGGCGGUUUAGAGUGGUGUUUUUUUCUUCUUUUUGUUUUGUUUUGUUUCAUUUUUCCCCGCUGGUGUUGUCCCUUUUUUUGUGUCCGAAGAGACUCGUUUUGUCCGUCCUACACUUCGCCAGAACGGAACAGUGUUUUUUUUUUUUUUUUAAAUAAUAAAUAAAAAAACAUCUUUACAACAGCACUUUAAAACUAAAAAGAACUGGCGAAAUUGCGCAGGAUUGCAGUCUUUCAGUGAGCAAGCCAGGAGUCGGCAAAGGCAAAGACACUUGGAACUGGAUCUUCAUUCUCAGGAAGUGUCCCAAUAUUUAUCAGUGACGUACCAGACGAGCUGAAGGACAGCGGAUCGGUGGAGAUGCUCGGUGUCAUGGCAACCGUCAACAAUGGGAUACUGAAGGCCAAAUGUGUGUUGGGCAGCUGCUCUGGGCCAUGGAGACUACAGCUCUGAGAAGAGAACAGGAGAUGCUGUCUCUCUGGGCUAUGUCUAGGAACUGGGCUUCAAUCCUUCCGUUUUUAGGAGCAUGCAGGAUUUAGGACUUGGUCGGAAAUAGAUCUUGGAAAAUAAACACAUUUUUGAAAGCACAGAUUGGAUGGG